rnacentral:rRNA from 1 species
GAUGAACGCUAGCGGCAGGCCUAAUACAUGCAAGUCGAGCGGCAAGUUGAGAAGCAAUUCGAGACCUAGAGCGGCGUACGGGUGCGUAACGCGUAUGCAACCUACCUCAUACAGGGGGAUAGCCCGGAGAAAUCUGGAUUAAUACCCCAUAGUACAUAUAGAGGGCAUCUGAAAUAUGUUAAAGAUUCAUCGGUAUGAGAUGGGCAUGCGUCUGAUUAGCUAGUUGGCGGUGUAACGGACCACCAAGGCGACGAUCAGUAGGGGUUCUGAGAGGAAGGUCCCCCACCCUGGCACUGAGAUACGGGCCAGACUCCUACGGGAGGCAGCAGUAGGGAAUAUUGGGCAAUGGUCGGAAGACUGACCCAGCCAUGCCGCGGGCAGGAAGAAGGCCCUCUGGGUUGUAAACUGCUUUUAUCUGGGAAGAAAAGGCCCGUGCGCGGGACAUUGCCGGUACCAGAUGAAUAAGCACCGGCUAACUCCGUGCCAGCCGCCGCCGUAACAC